rnacentral:rRNA from 1 species
GAUGAACGCUGGCGGCGUGCCUAAUACAUGCAAGUCGAACGAACAGACGAGGGGCUUGCUCCUCUGACGUUAGCGGCGGGCGGGUGAGUAACACGUGGAUAACCUCCCUAUAAGACUGGGAUAACUUCGAAAAACCGGCGCUAAUACCAGAUAAUAUAUUGAACCACAUGGUUCAAUAGGAAAAGACGGUUUUGCUGUCACUUAUAGCUGGAUUCGCGCCGCAUUAGCUAGUUGGGAAGGUAACGGCUUACCAAGGCAACGAUGCGUGGCCGACCUGAGAGAGUGAUCGCCCACAUGGGAACGGGAACAGGGACAAUGCUCCUAAGGGAGGGAGCAGUAGGGAACCGGACGCAAUGGGCGAAAGCCUUGCGGAGUAGGCGCGCGUGAGUGACGAAGGUGCCGGGAGCGUAAAACCGUGUUAUUAGUGAAGAACAAAUGUGUAAGUAAAUAUGCACGUAUUGACGGUACCUAAUCAGAAAGCAACGGCUAACUACGUG